UUUCCGUAGGUGAACCUGCGGAUGGAUCAUUAAUGAGUUGUCAUGGGGUUCGAUGCUGGCAGCCAGUUUUUGGAUGCAUGUGCUUGCCCUAACAAUCAUCUUCUUCCAAACACCUGUGCACAUUUUUGAGGGAGUCUUGAGUUGGUUGCCGCUCUUGGGUGAUUUUCUCACAUUCCCUUAAAUCAUUAUACGCUAUUAACAAUGUUGAACGUGCUCUGUGCCGCAAGGCCAUUAAUAUAAUACAACUUUUAACAACGGAUCUCUUGGCUCUC
rnacentral:misc_RNA from 1 species